GAGAGAGAGAGGGAAUAUCAACAACAAUUAUAUAUGUGCGUACAAUAUAGCAAAGCGUGUGCGCCAAAACAUGCGCUGGACAACGAACUUGUCAACCAGCCAGGCAGAGGCGUCGUUCGCUCUUUCUAAGGCAAGCCGAAGCUUGCAAGCAGCACAGCUUCGACUACGCCGCUGGCGCAGCAGCUGCGGCGAAGCCCAGACAGUCGCUGAAUUCGAUCAAAACAAGUUGGCGAACCGCACAGCCAUUCGCCGACUGCGGCGACUGCGACUGCAGCGUGCGAAAACAACACGCGAUUUACACCGCGCUGCCGCCCCAAUUCGCCCUAAUUCGCCGCAUCGGCUUGUUGUUGCCAUGCACUUCACUGGAAAGGCGUAAACAAGUGCAACGGCAAGCAGUAAACAAGCAAAUACACUGGGUCAACAUAGUCAAGCUAGUCUGUACCUCUGUUUGUCUACCGACAGCUCGGAUCUGUAUUUAGCUGGUAGCCAACCACUUGACUAGGCUUCCGUUGAUGUAAUUGAAUCCAUCUCUAUACGGAAUGCAUAUUUAAUACGAAAGCGCGUGAACCGCUUUAGCCGAGGCUCUCUGUACACAGAACAGACAGAUUGGCUGGUUAAUUGCCGGGGCCAUACAUAACACUGGGGCCAUUCCAUGUGAAGCAGCCAACGGAGCAGCAAAAAGGCGCUCAAAUUCAACGAUUCGUGGCCAGCAUGGAUGAGGAGCACGAGGACGAUCGAAUAAUAUGAGAUUAGAUGGGGCUUUAGAGCCCCGUCACGGUGCUGCAACGUUGCAGAGCCGAUUUAUUGGUGUUGCCAAAUAUCGGCGCGAGACGCGCCUAAAAUGUGAGCAACAGCAGCAACAAUGCGCUGACGAAGACGACGAAGCAGCAGCAGCAACAGCUAAGCACUUCAGCAACAGCAACAACAACAGCAGCAACUGUUUGCGCAACAAGAACAACAGCAACAAUUGCCUUGGGGCAGUUUUGGAGCAACAAGCUCAACAUUUGUCGCCCAGCCAGGCGCCAGGCACAACAACAACAACAACGGCUAACACAAAUAAAGUUAACUUGCACUUAAGCAUUGAGGGCGCCACAACAACAACAACAGCAGCAGCAACAACAACAACAGCAGUAGCAACAACACCAUCAAAUUGGCUCGCCACAGUCGCCUCCCUGAAAAUGCGUGUGAAGCAAUCGUUAAUGCUAAUGGCGCGCCGGGUCCACCGCCAGCUGAGCAUGAGGGGGCGCCUCGGCACCAGCAAUGUCCUGUGCCUGAUUUCCGUUGUUGCGCUGGCAGCGCUGCUGCCGCUGCCGCCGCUGGCGUUGGCCGAUGACGGUGACAAUUUCUUUGCCGUUAAUAGCUUCAGCGUGGGACCGGAGACGACAACACCCGAGUUUGAUUAUGCCAGCCGCGGCCAGAAAAAGUUCGGGGACAAGUGCGACAAUACAUUGGAGUGCGGCUUUCCCGGCUCCAUAUGCGAUCCCAAGAAGAAGUACUGCCAGUGCACCGACGAUCUGCAAAUCACCAAUCACAUUGAUAAAUGUGGCAAGGCGGCUGCCAUCAACGAGUCCUGUUUCUUCAACGAGCAGUGCGAGGCGAUUUACUUUCAGACCGAAUGCCGGGACGGACGUUGCAUAUGCCGCUUCGAGAUGUCGCCCAUUUGGGGCAAGGAUGGGUCCGUCGAGUGCAAAGGACGCCAGGACAAGCGUGGAGAAAGCACCUACAUUGAUCCGGCCAUGAUUGGCGUACUGGUAGGAAUGGCAUUGAUGUUUAUUAUUAUUUGUGUCGUCCUGCGAUUGUUUAGCCAGGCACGCUGGCACGAGAAUCGCACCAUAUUCAAUACGCCGAAUCCACGCCUGAUGAACGUCUCCCUCUUGCGGGACAACAAGCUGCUCCAUGGCCAGGAUAGACGCGGCUCGCGCAUGUCCGUGCGGGCGCCAUCCCGUCAGCCGAGCAUGGCCUCGCUGCGUCCGCACUCGCCGAAUCCGUCGCUAGGUCGCAUGAUACGCUCGAAGAGCAACACACGCUCCAGCGACUCACGUGUCAGCGAUGUUUCCAACUGUUCGCGUCUGCUGGAGCAUCCGAGCGCCGCCAGUCAGUACAAUGUUGUCCAUAGCCAUUUUUUGCCCUACGUGCCAACCACAACAACGGCGGCCAGUGUUGCCAACGCCACAACGACCUCAACGUUGACGCCAACGCCGACGCUGACGCCGACGCCAACGCCAGCGUCAUCGAACACCGUGACGACCACGUAUGUGUCGUCGCCGGGCACGGCGCCCGCCUGCGGCAUGACUGCCAAUCCGGCUGCCAAUAAGUUUUAGUCUUAGGCCACAUAUAUCCAAUGCAGCCAUAUCAGUACCAGUACCAGUUCCAGUUCCUGAACCAGUUCCCGAGGCUCCCAGUCGGACUCCCAUGGCAGCAAUGCAUCCGCCACCUCGGUGCGCUCGAACCGCAGCA